rnacentral:rRNA from 1 species
GGCCGCGGGAAUUCGUGUCGGGCCUAACACAUGCAAGUGGAACGGCAGCAUGGAGAGCUUGCUCUCUGAUGGCGAAUGGCGAACGGGUGAGUAAUGCAUCGGAACGUACCGUGUAAUGGGGGAUAACGUAGCGAAAGUUACGCUAAUACCGCAUACGACCUGAGGGUGAAAGCAGGGGAUCGCAAGACCUUGCGUUAUACGAGCGGCCGAUGUCAGAUUAGCUAGUUGGUGAGGUAAAGGCUCACCAAGGCGACGAUCUGUAGCGGGUCUGAGAGGAUGAUCCGCCACACUGGGACUGAGACACGGCCCAGACUCCUACGGGAGGCAGCAGUGGGGAAUUUUG